rnacentral:misc_RNA from 1 species
CCCUUGUGGAGGAGGACGCCGAAGGUGGGGCUAAUGACUGGGGUGAAGUCGUAACAAGGUAGCCGUACCGGAAGGUGCGGCUGGAUCACCUCCUAACAGGGAGACAACAAAAUGUUUAAUAUUAUUAUUUUGUCACCUUAGGUCGAUCGGUAUCUCACGUUCUUAAUUUGUUAAGAAUUUCAUUUCCUAAGUUUUUCUAGGUCACACCCAUUAUUUUUCCUGGGCCAUUAGCUCAGGUGGUUAGAGCGCACCCCUGAUAAGGGUGAGGUCCCUGGUUCAAGUCCAGGAUGGCCCAUAUCUCUAUGUUGGGGGUAUAGCUCAGUUGGUAGAGCGCCUGCUUUGCAAGCAGGAUGUCAGCGGUUCGAGUCCGCUUACCUCCACUGAUUACCACCUCUUACAUAACUGGUAAAAAGGAAAUGUUUUGAGUUGUGAUCAUUAUUCUGAACGAAUCUAGCUUCCUAAUGAAAUCAUUAAGAUGCUGGACUCAUUGAAUUAAUUUCAUUGUUUUCAGAGAACCUUGACAACUGCAUAGAUUAUUUUUAAAGACAAUAAGCAUCUUUAAUGAUGCAGAUUUAUUAUUUGUGCGAAUGCAUUAAUAACAAUUCUAUUAAGCUGAUGCUUCAAUUUUUUGAAGUUAUUGGUCAAGCUACAAAGGGCUCACGGAGGAUACCUAGGCACACAGAGGCGAUGA